GGGUUGUGAGGUUAAGCGACUAAGCGUACACGGUGGAUGCCCUGGCAGUCAGAGGCGAUGAAGGGCGUGCUAAUCUGCGAUAAGCGCCGGUAAGGUGAUAUGAACCGUUAUAACCGGCGAUACCCGAAUGGGGAAACCCAGUGUGACUCGUCACACUAUCAUUAACUGAAUCCAUAGGUUAAUGAGGCGAACCGGGGGAACUGAAACAUCUAAGUACCCCGAGGAAAAGAAAUCAACCGAGAUUCCCCCAGUAGCGGCGAGCGAACGGGGAGGAGCCCAGAGCCUGAAUCAGCAUGUGUGUUAGUGGAAGCGUCUGGAAAGGCGCGCGAUACAGGGUGACAGCCCCGUACACAAAAGCGCAUGUGCUGUGAGCUCGAUGAGUAGGGCGGGACACGUGGUAUCCUGUCUGAAUAUGGGGGGACCAUCCUCCAAGGCUAAAUACUCCUGACUGACCGAUAGUGAACCAGUACCGUGAGGGAAAGGCGAAAAGAACCCCGGCGAGGGGAGUGAAAAAGAACCUGAAACCGUGUACGUACAAGCAGUGGGAGCACAGGUUUACCUGUGUGACUGCGUACCUUUUGUAUAAUGGGUCAGCGACUUAUAUUCUGUAGCAAGGUUAACCGAAUAGGGGAGCCGGAGGGAAACCGAGUCUUAAUUGGGCGUUAAGUUGCAGGGUAUAGACCCGAAACCCGGUGAUCUAGCCAUGGGCAGGUUGAAGGUUGGGUAACACUAACUGGAGGACCGAACCGACUAAUGUUGAAAAAUUAGCGGAUGACCUGUGGCUGGGGGUGAAAGGCCAAUCAAACCGGGAGAUAGCUGGUUCUCCCCGAAAGCUAUUUAGGUAGCGCCUCGUGAAUUCAUCUCCGGGGGUAGAGCACUGUUUCGGCUAGGGGGCCAUCCCGGCUUACCAACCCGAUGCAAACUGCGAAUACCGGAGAAUGUUAUCACGGGAGACACACGGCGGGUGCUAACGUCCGUCGUGAAGAGGGAAACAACCCAGACCGCCAGCUAAGGUCCCAAAGUCAUGGUUAAGUGGGAAACGAUGUGGGAAGGCCCAGACAGCCAGGAUGUUGGCUUAGAAGCAGCCAUCAUUUAAAGAAAGCGUAAUAGCUCACUGGUCGAGUCGGCCUGCGCGGAAGAUGUAACGGGGCUAAACCAUGCACCGAAGCUGCGGCAGCGACACUGUGUGUUGUUGGGUAGGGGAGCGUUCUGUAAGCCUGUGAAGGUGGCCUGUGAGGGUUGCUGGAGGUAUCAGAAGUGCGAAUGCUGACAUAAGUAACGAUAAAGCGGGUGAAAAGCCCGCUCGCCGGAAGACCAAGGGUUCCUGUCCAACGUUAAUCGGGGCAGGGUGAGUCGACCCCUAAGGCGAGGCCGAAAGGCGUAGUCGAUGGGAAACGGGUUAAUAUUCCCGUACUUGGUGUUACUGCGAAGGGGGGACGGAGAAGGCUAUGUUGGCCGGGCGACGGUUGUCCCGGUUUAAGCGUGUAGGUGUGUGUUCCAGGUAAAUCCGGUUCACUUUAACACUGAGGCGUGAUGACGAGGCACUACGGUGCUGAAGCAACAAAUGCCCUGCUUCCAGGAAAAGCCUCUAAGCAUCAGGUAACAUCAAAUCGUACCCCAAACCGACACAGGUGGUCAGGUAGAGAAUACCAAGGCGCUUGAGAGAACUCGGGUGAAGGAACUAGGCAAAAUGGUGCCGUAACUUCGGGAGAAGGCACGCUGACACGUAGGUGAAGUGAUUUACUCAUGGAGCUGAAGUCAGUCGAAGAUACCAGCUGGCUGCAACUGUUUAUUAAAAACACAGCACUGUGCAAACACGAAAGUGGACGUAUACGGUGUGACGCCUGCCCGGUGCCGGAAGGUUAAUUGAUGGGGUCAGCGCAAGCGAAGCUCCUGAUCGAAGCCCCGGUAAACGGCGGCCGUAACUAUAACGGUCCUAAGGUAGCGAAAUUCCUUGUCGGGUAAGUUCCGACCUGCACGAAUGGCGUAAUGAUGGCCAGGCUGUCUCCACCCGAGACUCAGUGAAAUUGAACUCGCUGUGAAGAUGCAGUGUACCCGCGGCAAGACGGAAAGACCCCGUGAACCUUUACUAUAGCUUGACACUGAACAUUGAGCCUUGAUGUGUAGGAUAGGUGGGAGGCUUUGAAGUGUGGACGCCAGUCUGCAUGGAGCCGACCUUGAAAUACCACCCUUUAAUGUUUGAUGUUCUAACGUGGACCCGUAAUCCGGGUUGCGGACAGUGUCUGGUGGGUAGUUUGACUGGGGCGGUCUCCUCCUAAAGAGUAACGGAGGAGCACGAAGGUUGGCUAAUCCUGGUCGGACAUCAGGAGGUUAGUGCAAUGGCAUAAGCCAGCUUGACUGCGAGCGUGACGGCGCGAGCAGGUGCGAAAGCAGGUCAUAGUGAUCCGGUGGUUCUGAAUGGAAGGGCCAUCGCUCAACGGAUAAAAGGUACUCCGGGGAUAACAGGCUGAUACCGCCCAAGAGUUCAUAUCGACGGCGGUGUUUGGCACCUCGAUGUCGGCUCAUCACAUCCUGGGGCUGAAGUAGGUCCCAAGGGUAUGGCUGUUCGCCAUUUAAAGUGGUACGCGAGCUGGGUUUAGAACGUCGUGAGACAGUUCGGUCCCUAUCUGCCGUGGGCGCUGGAGAACUGAGGGGGGCUGCUCCUAGUACGAGAGGACCGGAGUGGACGCAUCACUGGUGUUCGGGUUGUCAUGCCAAUGGCACUGCCCGGUAGCUAAAUGCGGAAGAGAUAAGUGCUGAAAGCAUCUAAGCACGAAACUUGCCCCGAGAUGAGUUCUCCCUGAGACUUAGAGUCUCCUGAAGGAACGUUGAAGACGACGACGUUGAUAGGCCGGGUGUGUAAGCGCAGCGAUGCGUUGAGCUAACCGGUACUAAUGAACCGUGAGGCUUAACCUUACAACGCCGAAG
rnacentral:rRNA from 1 species